UACGAAGGGGGCUAGCGUUGCUCGGAAUCACUGGGCGUAAAGCGCACGUAGGCGGCUUUUUAAGUCAGAGGUGAAAGCCUGGGGCUCAACCCCAGAAUUGCCUUUAAGACUGCAUCGCUUGAAUCCAGGAGAGGUGAGUGGAAUUCCGAGUGUAGAGGUGAAAUUCGUAGAUAUUCGGAAGAACACCAGUGGCGAAGGCGGCUCACUGGACUGGUAUUGACGCUGAGGUACGGAAAGCGUGGGGAGCAAACAGGG
rnacentral:rRNA from 1 species